UUCCGGUUGAUCCUGCCGAACCCGACUGCUAUUUGGGUGAGAAUAAGCCAUGCGAGUCGAAUGGGAUACCUAAACUUCCCAUGGCAAACUGCUCAGUAACACAUGAUCAACUUAACCUAUAGAGAAAAAUAAUCUCGGGAAACUGAGGAUAAUAUUUCAUAGUUGAAUCGGCUUGGAAAAGUUUUUCAACCAAAAGGAUAAGAAAAAUGGUUCUUAUUCGCUAUAGGAUAGGAUCGUGGACGAUUAUGGUUGUUGGUGAGGUAACGGCUCACCAAGCCGAUAAUCGAUAGGGGCCGUGAGAGCGGGAGCCCCGAGAUGGGUACUUAGACAACGACCCAGGCCUUACGAGGCGCAGCAGGCGCGGAACCUCCGCAAUACACGAAAGUGUGACGGGGUUACCCAAAGUGUUCAGUUUUGGACUGUGGUAGGUGAGUAAUGUUCCCUACUAGAAAGGAGAGGGCAAGGCUGGUGCCAGCCGCCGCGGUAAAACCAGCUCUUCAAGUGGUCGGGAUAAUUAUUGGGCUUAAAGUGUCCGUAGCCGGUUUAGUAAGUUCCUGGUAAAAUCGGGUAGCUUAACUAUCUAUAUGCUAGGAAUACUGCUAUACUAGAGGGCGGGAGAGGUCUGAGGUACUACAGGGGUAGGGGUGAAAUCUUAUAAUCCUUGUAGGACCACCAGUGGCGAAGGCGUCAGACUGGAACGCGCCUGACGGUGAGGGACGAAAGCCAGGGGAGCGAACCGGAUUAGAUACCCGGGUAGUCCUGGCCGUAAACGAUGCAUACUAGGUGAUGGUGUGGCCAUGAGCCGUAUCAGUGCCGUAGGGAAACCGUUAAGUGUGCCGCCUGGGAAGUACGGUCGCAAGGCUAAAACUUAAAGGAAUUGGCGGGGGAGCACCACAAGGGGUGAAGCCUGCGGUUCAAUUGGAUUCAACGCCGGG
rnacentral:rRNA from 1 species